rnacentral:lncRNA from 1 species
UCCGCCUCCUUCCUUCUUUGCUUCUUCUGCCUUAGGGGGAACUACCUCCACGUUCCUCUUCAGCUUUUCCUUGAGGUAAGGUACCAUUUCCUUCACUUCCAUUGUCCCCUUCACCGUGACUAGGUCCUUUGCUCCGUCCACUGCCACGUUAUCAACCCCUGUUCGAUGUCCACGUCAGAAUUCCGUCACCUUUGGAUUGUACGCUAAUCUCAUUGUUAAAAUAUGAUAUUGAAUAAUUAAUUGUUUAACUACCUUUGAUUUUCAAGAUAAUCUUCUUUAUUUUUGAAAUGCAACCAUCGCAGUGAGUUCUUAUUUUCAAAACGACCGUACUCUGCAUCGUUUAGUUUAAUCACAGUUAGUUAAGCACUUGAUUCGGAUUUAAUCAACCAAAAAUUGCAGAACAAUGGAUGUAAAUUAAGAAUUUGAUUACCUAUGGUGAGAAUUUUACCUCUUUAGGUGGUUUUUUCUCCUCAGGUUUCUUCUCCUCCGGUUUCUUCUCCUCUGGUUUCUUAUCGCCGCCGUCUUUCUUAGGUUGAGGAGACACAAUCUCCACUUUCUUCUUCGUUUUCUCUUCCAC